rnacentral:misc_RNA from 1 species
AACGCACAUUGCGCCCUUUGGUAUUCCGAAGGGCAUGCCUGUUCGAGCGUCAUUGCAAACCCUCAAGCGCAGCUUGGUCUUUGGGCGUCGGUCCGGCGAGGACCCGCCCCGAACCCGUCGGCGGUACCGCCCGGCUCCCAGCGUAGCAAGAUUUUCCCUCGCUUCGGAGCCCGCGGCGGCGCCUGCCGGGAAAGUGACGUACCCGUAGUUUGACCUCGGAUCAGGUAGGGAUACCCGCUGAACUUAA